ACACAUGCAGUCGAACGGUGAAGCAGAGCUUGCUCUGUGGAUCAGUGGCGAACGGGUGAGUAACACGUGAGCAACCUACCCCUGACUCUGGGAUAAGCGCUGGAAACGGCGUCUAAUACUGGAUAUGUGACUCGACCGCAUGGUCUGUGUCUGGAAAGAAUUUCGGUUGGGGAUGGGCUCGCGGCCUAUCAGCUUGUUGGUGAGGUAAUGGCUCACCAAGGCGUCGACGGGUAGCCGGCCUGAGAGGGUGACCGGCCACACUGGGACUGAGACACGGCCCAGACUCCUACGGGAGGCAGCAGUGGGGAAUAUUGCACAAUGGGCGCAAGCCUGAUGCAGCAACGCCGCGUGAGGGAUGACGGCCUUCGGGUUGUAAACCUCUUUUAGCAGGGAAGAAGCGAAAGUGACGGUACCUGCAGAAAAAGCGCCGGCUAACUACGUGCCAGCAGCCGCGGUAAUACGUAGGGCGCAAGCGUUAUCCGGAAUUAUUGGGCGUAAAGAGCUCGUAGGCGGUUUGUCGCGUCUGCUGUGAAAUCCGGAGGCUCAACCUCCGGCCUGCAGUGGGUACGGGCAGACUAGAGUGCGGUAGGGGAGAUUGGAAUUCCUGGUGUAGCGGUGGAAUGCGCA
rnacentral:rRNA from 1 species